UACGGAGGGUGCAAGCGUUGUUCGGAAUUAUUGGGCGUAAAGCGCGUGUAGGCGGCUAUUUAAGUCUGAUGUGAAAGCCCGGGGCUCAACCCCGGAAGUGCAUUUGAAACUGUGAGGCUUGAGUAUAGGAGAGGUAAGUGGAAUUCCUAGUGUAGCGGUGAAAUGCGUAGAUAUCGGGAGGAACACCAGUGGCGAAGGCGGCUUCCUGGCCGGAUACUGACGCUCAAGUGCGAAAGCUGGGGGAGCGAAC
rnacentral:rRNA from 1 species